AGGAACCGGAUGCGGGAAAACUGCACGUCCGGGUCUGUGCGGGAGAGGCCCGGUAACGGGCAUUCCUGCUGCGGACGCCGUAAUGGGGCAUUUCCUUUUCGCCUUUCCGCUCCCCUGUCGACUUGAGUUUACCUUUUCAAUUUACCGGAC
rnacentral:misc_RNA from 1 species